UAGACCUAUCAAAUUUGAUUUUUUUUUAAA
rnacentral:piRNA from 1 species